AGGGUUUGAUUCUGGCUCAGGACGAACGCUGGCGGCGUGCUUAACACAUGCAAGUCGAACGUGAUUUUUGUGGAAAUUCUUUCGGGAAUGGAAAUGAAAUGAAAGUGGCGAACGGGUGAGUAACACGUGAGCAACCUACCUUACACAGGGGGAUAGCCGUUGGAAACGACGAUUAAUACCGCAUGAGACCACAGAAUCGCAUGAUAUAGGGGUCAAAGAUUUAUCGGUGUAAGAAGGGCUCGCGUCUGAUUAGCUAGUUGGAAGGGUAAAGGCCUACCAAGGCGACGAUCAGUAGCCGGUCUGAGAGGAUGAACGGCCACAUUGGAACUGAGACACGGUCCAA
rnacentral:rRNA from 1 species